rnacentral:rRNA from 1 species
AUUGAACGCUGGCGGCAGGCCUAACACAUGCAAGUCGAGCGAGUGGCGGACGGGUGAGUAAUGUCUGGGGAACUGCCUGAUAGAGGGGGAUAACUACUGGAAACGGUGGCUAAUACCGCAUACUAUCGGCUGAACCCAUAUGGGAUUAGCUAGUUGGUGGGGUAACGGCUCACCUAGGCGACGAUCUCUAGCUGGUCUGAGAGGAUGAUCAGCCAAACUGGAAGUGAGACACGGUCCAGACUCCUACGGGAGGCAGCAGGGGGGAAUAUUGCACAAUGGGCGCAAGCCUGAUGCAGCCAUGCCGCGUGUAUGAAGAAGGCCUUAGGGUUGUAAAGUACUUUCAGCGGGGAGGCGUUACCCGCAGAAGAAGCACCGGCUAACUCCGUGCCAGCAGCAGCGGUAAUUC